rnacentral:rRNA from 1 species
UACGAAGGGGGCUAGCGUUGCUCGGAAUUACUGGGCGUAAAGCGCACGUAGGCGGUCUUUUAAGUCGGGGGUGAAAUCCUGGAGCUCAACUCCAGAACUGCCUUCGAUACUGGAACGACUCGAGUCCGGGAGAGGUGAGUGGAAUUCCGAUGGUGGUAGCGGUGAAAUGCGUAGAUAUCAGGAGGAACACCUGUGGCGAAAGCGGCUCACUGGACCAUAACUGACGCUGAUGCACGAAAGCUAGGGGAGCAAACAGG